UGAACGCUGGCGGCGUGCCUAACACAUGCAAGUCGAACGGUAACAGGAGAAAGCUUGCUUUCUUGCUGACGAGUGGCGCACGGGUGAGUAAUGUAUAGCUAACGUGCCCUACAGAGGGGGAUAGCCACUGGAAACGGUGAUUAAUACCCCAUACUCCUUUCUAACAGAAGUUAGAUUGGGAAACGGAUUUCCGCUGUAGGAUCGGGCUAUAUCGUAUCAGGUAGUUGGUGGGGUAACGGCCUACCAAGCCAAUGACGCGUAGCUGGUUUGAGAGGAUGAUCAGCCACACUGGUACUGAGACACAGACCAGACUCCUACGGGAGGCAGCAGUGAGGAAUAUUGCACAAUGGGGGAAACCCUGAUGCAGCAACGCCGCGUGGAGGAUGACGCAUUUCGGUGUGUAAACUCCUUUUAUAUCCGAAGAAAAUGACGGUAGGAUAUGAAUAAGCUCCGGCUAACUCCGUGCCAGCAGCCGCGGUAAUACGGGGGGAGCAAGCGUUACUCGGAAUCACUGGGCGUAAAGGACGCGUAGGCGGCCCGGUAAGUCAGGUGUGAAAUCCUACAGCUUAACUGUAGAACUGCACUUGAAACUGCCGGGCUAGAGUAUGGAAGGGGCAGAUGGAAUUAGUGGUGUAGGGGUAAAAUCCGUAGAUAUCACUAGGAAUACCGAAAGCGAAGGCGAUCUGCUGGGACAUUACUGACGCUAAGGCGUGAAAGCGUGGGGAGCAAACGGGAUUAGAUACCCUGGUAGUCCACGCCCUAAACGAUGUUCACUAGUCGUCGGGGAGCUAGUCUCUUCGGUGAUGCACCUAACGGAUUAAGUGAACCGCCUGGGGAGUACGGUCGCAAGAUUAAAACUCAAAGGAAUAGACGGGGACCCGCACAAGUGGUGGAGCAUGUGGUUUAAUUCGAAGAUACGCGAAGAACCUUACCUGGCCUUGACAUAUAGGAGAACCUGCCAGAGAUGGCGGGGUGCCCUUCGGGGAGCUCCUAUACAGGUGCUGCACGGCUGUCGUCAGCUCGUGUCGUGAGAUGUUGGGUUAAGUCCCGCAACGAGCGCAACCCUCGUCCUUAGUUGCCAGCAGUUCGGCUGGGCACUCUAAGGAGACUGCCUUCGUAAGGAGGAGGAA
rnacentral:rRNA from 1 species